GGUUUCAUAUAGAAGAUUAGCUUUGUAGUUUUAUGCAGUAAUAGUCAGUUUGGAUGCUUGGACGUUAAGUUAUAUUAGCCCGAUCACUGACAGGUUGAUUUUAUUUAUUUACUAACUUAAUCUUGCUGUUACUUGUUGGUUUCGUUUUUGUUUUUGUUUUCUUGUUAUGAUUAGUGUGUACGACUGAGGAUUUGAAUUGUAGCCUAGUGGGGGUGCCUUAGUGGUUCUAUAUGUUGGUGUGGGGGUGCCUUAGUGGUUUUAUAUGCUUGCCAAGAGCUGAUCAUGUCCUAAUGCUGCUAAGCCAACCAAAAUCAUGUCUGGUCGACCUCCCAUGGAUACACGCCAGGUGCCACUAGGUGUUGCUAUUGGGUUGGCCGGAUCGCCAGCUUCCACGAUGCUAUAAAUUUUUACCUAUUUUUUAUUUACUAGUUUUUAACUUUAGGGUGGUAAGCUGGUCUAACCCCUUUGCUUAUGAUCUCACGUGCAUAAUAAGUAAUGCUCAAGGACAUAUUUUAAUGGCAAUAUCACUCUUCUUGCAACGACAUGUACUCCAAUAUAGCUACGUAUAUAGUUGGUGGCAACAGAACCUCAAUGAAUGCAACGAAUGAUAUUUUGGUUGCAAUAUAAUAAGAUCUUUUGCAACUGAGGGCAAGAUUAAGGCAAUAAAGUUUCAUCGUGGCUAUAUUCACAACUACUUGCAACAAAUCAUUUCUUGGAUGCAAUAUAGAUCUGAUCUAUCGCAACACAUGUCAA
rnacentral:lncRNA from 1 species